AUCUAGCUGAUGAGUCCAAUUUAGGGCGAAACACACAUCCUAGAU
rnacentral:hammerhead_ribozyme from 1 species